rnacentral:RNase_P_RNA from 1 species
AAAGUUCGCUAUGCAAUCGCUGCUUUAUCGUUGUACCGCUUGCGGUAGACGGGUAAAGGGGAGGAAAGUCCGGGCUCCAUUGGGCAGAGUGCCAGAUAACAUCUGGGCGGCGUGAGCCGACGACAAGUGCAGCAGAGAGAAGACCGCCAUCACUUGUGAUGGUAAGGGUGAAAGGGUGCGGUAAGAGCGCACCGCGCAACUGGUAACAGUUUGUGGCGAGGUAAACUCCACUUGGAGCAAGACCAAAUAGGGUUCCAUUCGGCGUGGCCCGCGUUGGAACCGGGUAGGUUGCUUGAGCCUUAGAGCGAUUUAAGGCCUAGACGAAUGAUUGCAACUCUUUUAGAGACACAGAACCCGGCUUAUCGGCGAACUUUCCCU